CACGUACACUUGACAUGAAAAUGGCUCUUCUAACAAGCAGAUGUGCCCCUCGGCUGCCUCUGCGGAUCUGUCACACUGCUAGGGCUAGGGGAGGGCUGCUGGUGCCGCCUCAGCUGCUGCUGCCUCGUCAGGAUAACUGGAAGAAGAAGCUGCUACCACUGCAGCGCCCGCCCGCCCCUGCGCACCCGCGGCGGCUGUUCUGCUCGUUCAGCGAUUUUCUGAAGGCAGCGGAAGCCGGUCCAGCGCGUCAUGGCGCGCUACUGUCGUUCGCCGUGGCCCGGAACAGGCUCCAGGACGCCGUGGCGGGGAACCACCGGGACCGGGCGCUGGAAGCCCUUGCGGAGCUCAAGGCGUUCGCCGGCAGCGAGCACUACUACGGCGACGGCUACAGAGCGACGGAGCUUCUCUUGGCGGCACUGUCGCCUUUGGCUCGGCUGUGCAAGGGCCAAGGACUAGUAGUCGACGACGACGGCGCCGUGGUGACUAAGGAAUCACUGGCGGUGGCAUGCCUGCUGCUGCGGAACGCUUCUGCGGAGAUCGGCGCCACACUGUGCGAGGAAAUCUCGCAGGAGGAGGACGUCAAAUCCAGCUUGGAGAGGAUCCGAGACCGAAGUGGUUGUGAUUGUGACGAGGUGCGCGAGCUAGCAAACGAGAUUCUCGCACGGCUACCCUCAACUCCAAAUUAACUAGGCUCAGUCUGUCUAUUGCUUACGCGAUUUCACCUCCAUCGUGUGCUUCGAUCGAGAGCCUCACUUGUAUUUUCCCUUUCUUUUUUCUAAUAAAAAAGUCGACCAUCGUGUGAUAU
rnacentral:misc_RNA from 1 species